CCUACGGGUGGCUGCAGUGGGGAAUCUUGCACAAUGGGGGAAACCCUGAUGCAGCGACGCCGCGUGGAGGACGAAGGAUCUAGGUCUGUAAACUCCUUUUUCACGGAAAGACUUAGGACGGUACCGUGAGAAUAAGCCCCGGCUAACUACGUGCCAGCAGCCGCGGUAAGACGUAGGGGGCGAGCGUUGUCCGGAUUUACUGGGCGUAAAGAGCGCGUAGGCGGCUCGUUAAGUGUGAAGUGAAAUCUCCAGGGCUCAACCCGGAAACUGCUUCGCAUACUGGCGAGCUUGAGGAAUGCAGAGGUAAGUAGAAUUCCUGGUGUAGCGGUGAAAUGCGUAGAUAUCAGGAGGAAUACCGACGGCGAAGGCAGCUUACUGGGCAUUAUCUGACGCUGAGGCGCGAAAGCGUGGGUAGCAAACAGGCUUAGAUACCCCGGUAGUC
rnacentral:rRNA from 1 species